rnacentral:lncRNA from 1 species
CUGUUUCUGAGCAUCCCGGGUGGGUGGUCUCCUCACACCCCUCCCAGGCUUCCUCCCACAAUGGUGACUCGUUGCUGACUGCAUCUGGAGCCUUUCGUCUUCCUGUUGUGGUGGGCAUUUGGUUACUUGCCUAUAUCUACAGCUGGGGAAUAGUGGAGACUGUGUUUGAAUGCAGACAGUUCAGAUCCCAAAUCUGUGCCCUGUAGACUGCGGUCCGUUUGCUGAACCCAUUGUUUGCUGUCCCCAGGGGAAGGCACAACGUUUGCAGCGAAUGAGAGCUCCGACAGGUUUUGCCUUGCAAAAGACAACAGAUGGCAGAACCAUCCAGCAGAAUUUGGUUCCCCUGAGCCCUGAUUCACCAGAUGCUAUUUUCGUGCCAUUUACGAGUAGAGCUACAAAAAUUGGCAUCAUGGAACCCGACAGUUAGAAGGAAACUUUGGCAUUGAUUCCUUUCUGCUGCCGGCUUGGGAGUCCAGGCUGUGGCAGCCAGCUCGUGGACCUUGGAGUCUGACCAGCUUGAUUUCAAAUCCCAGCUCUGCCGCUCAUGAGCUGUGUGACCUUGACAUGCCACACUAGCCUUCUGAGUCUGGGUUUCAUCCUGUGCAGAAAGCAGGUGGUUUUAAUGGGGCAAAACAGGGGAACUGCUUUGCGCAGUAUUUGACACAUAGUAGGCACUCAACAAAUACUAGUUUUUCUAAUGUUCUCUCUCAAUCCCGAGGUUGACUUUCAGUCAACUCUUGUGAGAAUUAUUUCAUUUUACCUAUAAGGCAGAUGUUCAAGGGAUGUGGAAAAUUCUCUUGAAGAUUUCAUAACCUUUAUUUCUAGAUUCUGUGCCAGAGAAGUGAGGCUCACUUUAUCCCACUAAAAAAGAAAAAGAAAUAAAACCACCUUCCACCUAGUGCACAGUAAAGCUGAGCUAUUCUAUGACUUAAUUAAAAGCUGCAGAAUAUCUUCCUAUCUGCCAAUGAAUGACAAUUAAAUAGAAGACUGUGUUCAGCUAUUUCAUUACCUGGUUAGGUAAUAUGCCCCCAAACAGCAGGCCUUAGUAAUUACUGUACACUUUUCUUAAAUGCCCUGUUUACUGAUUGUCUUAUAACCGGAUGAUACACAUACAUAAUUUUAUAUUUAUGGAUAAGAGCUCUUUCCUGACAACUUGAACAUCUAAAUUAUGCAACACAGAAUCAGAUAAUUGCAGAGAAACGUUUGUCGUCUGGCAUAUGGGAUCUCCAGGUAAGGAGCAUAAUUAUACAGUAUCUGUUUGGAAUCAAUAGAAGGUGGGUGCCUGAUGCUAAUCGGGUAUCUUUCCAUCAUCUCCUUGUUUUUAAAAGUGAAAUUCAAAUAUGAGGAAUGUUGUCUGCUUUUGACAACUCUUAUCACAUGUCCAUGCCCUCGCUUUCAUAACCCGACAUUCUUGGAGCCUGUGGGUACAGAUGAGCAUGCUCAGUGAAGGAAGUCAUUUUUAAAAGACUUUCCACCAAUUUUUGCUUCUUCCUUAUUUUGAUAAAAGGUCUGGCCGGUGAGAUUGUCAAAGGACUCAGGUGCAGGCUCUCGGUGAACUCUAUUCCUCAGGCACCAGUCAUUGGCUCUGUGGGUGGUCACGUGACCUUUGCAGAGACCAAUCACAUUCUUCCCUGGGAUUCAUAGAUGCUAUGGGAAAGUCACUUUUCCUUUUAGCGGUAAAAAUAAAGGAGAAUGUAAAGUUGAAAGUGCUUGCUGUUCUUUUUUUCUGACAGGUGAAAAAGGGGAAUGUCUGCUAUAGUUGAAUGCCUACUGUGUGCUAGAUAUUGUGCAAAGCACUUUCCUCUCUAUAAUGGAAAAUAUGAAGGUACAGAGCCAAGGAGAGAAAAGAGAGGUGAGAAAUAGAUGAAUAGAAGGUUGAGAAAGUGAA